rnacentral:rRNA from 1 species
UUGGUUGCAUCCUGCCCAGUAGAUUGUUGUCUCAAAGUUUAAGCCAUGCAUGUAUAAGUCACACGGCUGAAAGUGAACAUGGCGAUGCUUCAUUUUUAAAUCAGUUAUAGGUUCCUUUGAUCGCUCACCCCGCUACUUAGUGAAUAACUUGUGGCAAUUCUAGAGUAAUAAUGCAACGAGCGCUGACCUCCGGGGAUGCGUGCUUUAUUCAGACCUAAAACCGCGCGGGGCGUCGCCGCGUGGCGGCCCGGCCUGUUUUUGUGACUCCUUAGAUACCUGGGCCCGAUCGGCUCGCCUCGCAAUAGGCGGCGGACUCAUUCGAAUGUCUUUGCCCAUUCAACUUUCCGAUGGCUACUCUAUGUGGCCUAAUUGUGACCACGGGGUUCACGGGGAAUCAGGGUUCGUUCCGGAGAGAGGAGCCUGAGAAUGGUACCAAUCCAAGGAAGGCAGCAGGCGCGCAAAUUACCCUUUCACGACUCGUGGAGGUAGUGACGAAAAUAACAUACAGGACUCUUUCAGAGGCCCUGUAAUUUGGAAUGAGCUGUACUUUAAAUCCUUUGGCAGUUACAAUUGGAGGGCAAGGGUCUGGUGCCAGCGCCGCGGUAAUUUCCAGCUCCAAUAAGGGUAUCUUAAAAGUUUCUGCAGUUAAAAAAGCUCUAGUUGGGAUCUCGGGGCGCGGGCUGACGGAUCCGCGAAAGGACGGUGCCACCGACUGUCCCAGGCCCUGCCUCUCAGGCGCCCCUCGUAUGCUCUUGGUUGAGUUGUUCUUUGCGGGCGUUCGAGCGUUACUUUUUGGAAAAUUGAGUGUUUCAAGCGAGCCCAGUUGCCGAAUCACUGCAGCUAGGAAUAAUGAAGUAGCGGACUCGGUUCUAUUUUGUUGGGUUCUUCUCAAUGGAUGAGGGCCAUGAUUAAGAGGCGGCGGGGCAUUCGCUUUGCGACCGCUAGAGGUGAAAUAUUAUUGGACCCGGCGCAAGACGGACGGAAAGCGAAGCAAUUUGCAGAAUGGGUUUUCAAAUUAAUCAAGAACGGAAGUCGGAGGUUCGAUAGACGAUCAAGAUACCGUUCGUCAGUUACGACCAUAAACGAUGCCGACUAGCGACUCCGGCGGCGUUAUUUCCAUGACCCGCCGUGGGAGCUACCGAACCAGUCUUUGGGUUCGGGGGGAGCUAUGGUGCAAAGCUGAAACUAUAAAAGGAAUUGACGGAAGAGGCACCACCAGGGUUGGAGGCUGCGGCUUCAAUUGACUCAAACGGGAAACCCAAUCACCGGCCCGGCACGGAGCGAUUGACAGAUUGAUAGCUCUUCUCGAUUAACUGUGGGUGGUGGUGCCAUGCCGUUCGUGUUGGUGGAGCGAUUUGUCUGGUUAAUUCCGACACACGAACGGGGCUCUGGACACGGCUACAAUAGAUUACGCGGGGCCCCGUGCGGUCGGCGUCCAGAACUUCUCUAGAGGGACAAGUGGCGUUACAGCCACACCGAGAUUGAAGCAAAUACAGGUUGUGAUGCCUUAGAUUGUCCGGGGCUGCACGCGCGGUGCGCCACACUGAGCGGACAUCAGCGUGUGCCUUUGCCCUUCGGCGACAGGCAGUUGAUGGUAAACCGCUGAACCCCGCUCGUUGAUGGGGAUGAGGGAUUGCAACUAUUUCCAUGACGAGAAGUUCAGUAAGCACGGGUCCAAGCUCGUGUUGAUUAAGUCCCUGCCCUUUAGUACCACACCGCCGUCGCUACUACCGAUUGGAUGGCUAUAGUUGAGGUCCUCGAUCGGCCGCGGAAGUUUCACGGGCUCUGCGCCGCGGCGUGCCGAGAGACGAUCAAACUUGAUAUUAAGAGGAAGUAAAAGUUCGUUAACAAGGUUUCCGUAGGUGAACUGCGGAAA